GCUCCUGUGUCCUAGUGGUUAGAGCGUCCGCCUCAGAUGCGGGAGGUCGUGGGUACGAUCCACGGUCGAGUCAUACCAAAGACU